rnacentral:lncRNA from 1 species
CGGGAGCAUGUGAUGGCAUUUGAAAGUAUGGCAUUGCAUUGAUUACACCUGCUGCAGCGUGUAGCCUGAUCCCACCAUUUAAGAACCAAACACUCAAUGUACAUAGUCAAUCAACAGCUAAAUCCCAAGGACUUUACAAUAAAUAAAUACCAAACUGAACCAAGAAAAGGCACCUUGUCCAAUUUAGAAUCAACACAAAUAAUACUAUACAACAAGACAAAAACAACAAUUUAUAGUUUAAAAGUACAAAUAAGUCAAAUUAGGGAAAUAACAGGGAUUAGGGAAAAUAUGAAAACAGCUGAUGGUUAACAGAAGAAAAUAUUGAUUAACAUGUAGCAAUUAAGUAUGGAAAGCAUUUAGAGCAUGUGACAAAUAAGAUAAGAGGGAAAACAAUUAAGGAAAAGUGAUGAAUCAGGGAAAACAUAUAAUCUGGUAGCGUAUAAGCACUCGUUGUCGUGCCCUCUUUUUCCCUUUUAGUGGGGAUGUCCGUGUUUCGACAUUCAUGAGGGAACAACUUGUUUCCUUUUAGAAAUUGGGUAUUUGAAGAGUCACCACCUAGCGGAUUAAAGUGUGUUAGGGCACCUAGAGUAAUUAAC